GGCUCAGAUUGAACGCUGGCGGCAUGCCUUACACAUGCAAGUCGAACGGCAGCACGGGAGCAAUCCUGGUGGCGAGUGGCGAACGGGUGAGUAAUAUAUCGGAACGUGCCCAGUCGUGGGGGAUAACGCAGCGAAAGCUGUGCUAAUACCGCAUACGAUCUCUGGAUGAAAGCGGGGGACUCGUAAGAGCCUCGCGCGAUUGGAGCGGCCGAUAUCAGAUUAGCUAGUUGGUGGGGUAAAGGCCCACCAAGGCGACGAUCUGUAGCUGGUCUGAGAGGACGACCAGCCACACUGGAACUGAGACACGGUCCAGACUCCUACGGGAGGCAGCAGUGGGGAAUUUUGGACAAUGGGCGCAAGCCUGAUCCAGCAAUGCCGCGUGCAGGAUGAAGGCCUUCGGGUUGUAAACUGCUUUUGUACGGAACGAAAAGGUUUGCCUUAAUACGGUGGGCCCAUGACGGUACCGUAAGAAUAAGCACCGGCUAACUACGUGCCAGCAGCCGCGGUAAUACGUAGGGUGCGAGCGUUAAUCGGAAUUACUGGGCGUAAAGCGUGCGCAGGCGGUUAUAUAAGACAGAUGUGAAAUCCCCGGGCUCAACCUGGGACCUGCAUUUGUGACUGUAUAGCUAGAGUACGGUAGAGGGGGAUGGAAUUCCGCGUGUAGCAGUGAAAUGCGUAG
rnacentral:rRNA from 1 species